rnacentral:lncRNA from 1 species
UGUAAUUCCAGAAAAUUUUCAUUUGUAAGAAAAGAUGUGAGUGUUACAAAUGUCAAACUAACACAACAGUUAUAUGUAUGUGAUAGAGUAAUUAACCAGAAAACUCAGACAAAGAUUUUUUUUUUAUUCAAAUAGAUUAUCCAACAAUCAGUUCUCAACCCUUAAAUAUGCUUCAAACAUGCCCUGAGAAAUUUCUCCUAACCAUUCAUUCACCAUAAAA